AAACUUUUGUGGUUCAUAAGCGUGAUGAUUGGGUUUUCACACUAACUAAUAUGAGCGUGCCUCUCUCUAACCUUCUUAUGACACUGGCACAUUACCUGUCUGAUG